UACGUAGGGUGCGAGCGUUAAUCGGAAUUACUGGGCGUAAAGCGUGCGCAGCGGUUUGUUAAGUCCGCUGUGAAAGCCCCGGGCUCAACCUGGGAAUGGCGGUGGAAACUGGCGAGCUAGAGUGUAGCAGAGGGGGUGGAAUUCCACGUGUAGCAGUGAAAUGCGUAGAGAUGUGGAGGAACACCAAUGGCGAAGGCAGCCCCCUGGGUUAACACUGACGCUCAGGCACGAAAGCGUGGGGAGCAACGAGG
rnacentral:rRNA from 1 species